GGGUUGUGAGGUUAAGCGACUAAGCGUACACGGUGGAUGCCCUGGCAGUCAGAGGCGAUGAAGGACGUGCUAAUCUGCGAAAAGCGUCGGUAAGGUGAUAUGAACCGUUAUAACCGGCGAUGUCCGAAUGGGGAAACCCAGUGCAAUUCGUUGCACUAUCGUUAACUGAAUACAUAGGUUAACGAGGCGAACCGGGGGAACUGAAACAUCUAAGUACCCCGAGGAAAAGAAAUCAACCGAGAUUCCCCCAGUAGCGGCGAGCGAACGGGGAGCAGCCCAGAGUCUGAAUCAGCUUGUGUGUUAGUGGAACGGUCUGGAAAGUCCGACGGUACAGGGUGAUAGUCCCGUACACCAAAAUGCACAGGCUGUGAACUCGAAGAGUAGGGCGGGACACGUGGUAUCCUGUCUGAAUAUGGGGGGACCAUCCUCCAAGGCUAAAUACUCCUGACUGACCGAUAGUGAACCAGUACCGUGAGGGAAAGGCGAAAAGAACCCCGGCGAGGGGAGUGAAAAAGAACCUGAAACCGUGUACGUACAAGCAGUGGGAGCACCUUCGGGUGUGACUGCGUACCUUUUGUAUAAUGGGUCAGCGACUUAUAUUCUGUAGCAAGGUUAACCGUAUAGGGGAGCCGCAGGGAAACCGAGUCUUAACUGGGCGUUAAGUUGCAGGGUAUAGACCCGAAACCCGGUGAUCUAGCCAUGGGCAGGUUGAAGGUUGGGUAACACUAACUGGAGGACCGAACCGACUAAUGUUGAAAAAUUAGCGGAUGACUUGUGGCUGGGGGUGAAAGGCCAAUCAAACCGGGAGAUAGCUGGUUCUCCCCGAAAGCUAUUUAGGUAGCGCCUCGUGAACUCUUCGGGGGUAGAGCACUGUUUCGGCUAGGGGGUCAUCCCGACUUACCAACCCGAUGCAAACUACGAAUACCGAAGAAUGUUAUCACGGGAGACACACGGCGGGUGCUAACGUCCGUCGUGAAGAGGGAAACAACCCAGACCGCCAGCUAAGGUCCCAAAGUCAUGGUUAAGUGGGAAACGAUGUGGGAAGGCACAGACAGCCAGGAUGUUGGCUUAGAAGCAGCCAUCAUUUAAAGAAAGCGUAAUAGCUCACUGGUCGAGUCGGCCUGCGCGGAAGAUGUAACGGGGCUAAACCAUGCACCGAAGCUGCGGCAGCGACACUAUGUGUUGUUGGGUAGGGGAGCGUUCUGUAAGCCUGCGAAGGUGCUGUGAGGCAUGCUGGAGGUAUCAGAAGUGCGAAUGCUGACAUAAGUAACGAUAAAGCGGGUGAAAAGCCCGCUCGCCGGAAGACCAAGGGUUCCUGUCCAACGUUAAUCGGGGCAGGGUGAGUCGACCCCUAAGGCGAGGCCGAAAGGCGUAGUCGAUGGGAAACAGGUUAAUAUUCCUGUACUUGGUGUUACUGCGAAGGGGGGACGGAGAAGGCUAUGUUAGCCGGGCGACGGUUGUCCCGGUUUAAGCAUGUAGGCUGGUCCAGGCAAAUCCGGAUAAUCAAGGCUGAGGUGUGAUGACGAGGCACUACGGUGCUGAAGUAACAAAUGCCCUGCUUCCAGGAAAAGCCUCUAAGCAUCAGGUAACAUUAAAUCGUACCCCAAACCGACACAGGUGGUCAGGUAGAGAAUACCAAGGCGCUUGAGAGAACUCGGGUGAAGGAACUAGGCAAAAUGGUGCCGUAACUUCGGGAGAAGGCACGCUGGUGUGUAGGUGAAGUCCCUGCGGAUGGAGCUGAGACCAGUCGAAGAUACCAGCUGGCUGCAACUGUUUAUUAAAAACACAGCACUGUGCAAACACGAAAGUGGACGUAUACGGUGUGACGCCUGCCCGGUGCCGGAAGGUUAAUUGAUGGGGUUAUCCGUAAGGAGAAGCUCUUGAUCGAAGCCCCGGUAAACGGCGGCCGUAACUAUAACGGUCCUAAGGUAGCGAAAUUCCUUGUCGGGUAAGUUCCGACCUGCACGAAUGGCGUAAUGAUGGCCAGGCUGUCUCCACCCGAGACUCAGUGAAAUUGAACUCGCUGUGAAGAUGCAGUGUACCCGCGGCAAGACGGAAAGACCCCGUGAACCUUUACUAUAGCUUGACACUGAACAUUGAGCCUUGAUGUGUAGGAUAGGUGGGAGGCUUUGAAGCGUGGACGCCAGUCUGCGUGGAGCCAACCUUGAAAUACCACCCUUUAAUGUUUGAUGUUCUAACGUUGGCCCCUUACCGGGGUUGCGGACAGUGUCUGGUGGGUAGUUUGACUGGGGCGGUCUCCUCCCAAAGCGUAACGGAGGAGCACGAAGGUUAGCUAAUCCUGGUCGGACAUCAGGAGGUUAGUGCAAUGGCAUAAGCUAGCUUGACUGCGAGCGUGACGGCGCGAGCAGGUGCGAAAGCAGGUCAUAGUGAUCCGGUGGUUCUGAAUGGAAGGGCCAUCGCUCAACGGAUAAAAGGUACUCCGGGGAUAACAGGCUGAUACCGCCCAAGAGUUCAUAUCGACGGCGGUGUUUGGCACCUCGAUGUCGGCUCAUCACAUCCUGGGGCUGAAGUAGGUCCCAAGGGUAUGGCUGUUCGCCAUUUAAAGUGGUACGCGAGCUGGGUUUAGAACGUCGUGAGACAGUUCGGUCCCUAUCUGCCGUGGGCGCUGGAGAAUUGAGGGGGGCUGCUCCUAGUACGAGAGGACCGGAGUGGACGCAUCACUGGUGUUCGGGUUGUCAUGCCAAUGGCACUGCCCGGUAGCUAAAUGCGGAAGAGAUAAGUGCUGAAAGCAUCUAAGCACGAAACUUGCCCCGAGAUGAGUUCUCCCUGAGACUUUAAGUCUCCUGAAGGAACGUUGAAGACGACGACGUUGAUAGGCCGGGUGUGUAAGCGCAGCGAUGCGUUGAGCUAACCGGUACUAAUGAACCGUGAGGCUUAACCUUACAACGCCGAAG
rnacentral:rRNA from 1 species